rnacentral:rRNA from 1 species
AUUGAACGCUGGCGGCAGGCCUAACACAUGCAAGUCGAGCGAGCGGCGGACGGGUGAGAAAUGUAUGGGGACUGCCCGAUAGAGGGGGCUAACUACUGGAAACGGUGGCUAAUACAGCAUACUGUCGGAUAACCCAUAUGGGAUUAGCUAGUAGGUAAGGUAAUGGCUUCCCUAGGAGACGAUCCCUAGCUGGUCUGAGAGGAUGAUCAGCCACACUGGGACGUAGACACGGCCCAGAAUCCGACGGAGGCAGCAGUGGGGAAUAUUGCACAAUGGGCGCAAGCCUGAUUCAGCCAUGCCGCGUGUAUGAAGAAGGCCCUAGGGUUGUAAAGUACUUUUGUGCGGGAGGCGUUACCGACAGAAGAAGCACCGGCUAACUCCGUGCCAGCAGCCGCGGUAAUAC